GUUGUUUAAAUUGUUGAAGAAUAUUGAAAUCUCACAUCAAAAACUUGACCAAAUCAAAUACACCACAUAAUAAGUGAUUUCACUAUUAAUGACACCGAAGUUUUUUGUGAUAAAACCUCACACCUGCUAAACCAGAAAAACUUGUAAUCCCCGGUGUGAGGUGUGAGGUGUGAGGCAUAUGAUUUUAAUGAAAGAAAUAUAAUAUUUUCUUUAAUAAAAAAAGGACAAGUAUGUACCACCGUACCAAAUAGAGUUUGAUAUCAUCUUUGGUUUGUUUUCCAUUUAAUUUGUUGAUGACUUUGAAAAGUCUGUGUUGAUAAAUUUCAAACAAAGAAAAAUCAUAUGCCCCUGUUUUUCAAGGGACCUACGUACUCUUCUUAAGCCUAAGUUAGAAUUAACAAGAAAGUAAUCAGGAAUAUUCAUCGUAUUAACUUGUUAAGUCAAACACGAAAAUAAAAAUAUUAAUAUAAUACAUUAGGUUAUAAGAUAGAACUAAAUAUUCUCAUGUUGCUGCUGACAAGUAUACUCAAACCUCUGACCAUGCGCUUACGUCCGAAUCUGGUAUUUCUAGGAUUGAAAUAUUCAAAUCAUUUCAAUGUCUAUAUAAAGUGUUUUAAAAUAAUCAAAUGUUUAGAGUCCAAGAAGUACUCUUUUUAUAAAAAAAAAGGCAAAAAGUGGUUUUUGGUAAUGUAGUUUGACACUUUUACCAUUUUAGUCUCUAUCGUUUUAAUUUGAUCAAUUUUGUCCCUAUAGUUUUCAAUUAAAGCAAUUUAAGGACAAUCUUCAGUUUUUUGUCAAAAUAAGGUAACUGCCGGUUAAUUGUUGAGAGGCAUUUCGGUCCAAAAACAAAGGUAACCAAAACCCAAGAAUAAAAUAACAAAAAAAAAUUUAAAAAGUAAAAUAAGAUACCCAGAUAACCCAAACCCCACCGCCCCUAUCAUCCUCCCCCACCCCAGCAAGGAAUUGGCCUCAGAAUUAAUGGUGUACAGUCAUAGGCAUGGUUUCUCUAGGUUUGCAGCCAAGCUCACAAAGUCUGAAGCCCAAAAACUUUCAGUGGCUGCAAAUUCCGGGAAUUUUCAGAACGUUGGCGUUCUCGCCGUUGCGAUUGAUGACCAUUUUGAUGAAGCUGAGGGUGGGUUUAGGACAGAGGGCGAGGGAGGGGGAUCCGGAGGUCGU